CUGCCUGCGGGCGGAGGUUUCCGCGCUGGGCCGGGCCCGGGGCAGCCCGGGCUGAGCUCCGGUUCUCGGUGUUGGCCAGCAAUCACACUGCGGGUGGUUCUGUGUGUGGGGAAGUGGUAGUGGAUGCAAAUGGCACAUUUCAGAAAUCUGUCUUGACAAAGUGGAAAGAUAGAAUUUGAUUUUAAGAGCUCUCUGAUCAGUGUUUAUAGGAUUUCAGUAUAAUUUUCUUUUUUCCCCCUCAUUGUCCUUUACAUUUUUGUCUAUGCUUAUGCUUAUUUUCCCAGCUGUGCAGUGACAAGGAGGAUGUACAAAACCAAACAACAUACAGGCUUGGUGAUGAUGAGACAUCAGAGGAACAUUCAGAUGCAUAGAAACAACUGCCAGCAAGAGCUGAAAUGUAAAAAAUAAAUAUGUUUGCAGGGGAUCCAGCAGAGAGAAUAGCAAGAUUAUACUAAGCAACUGCAUACGACUGCAUGAGAUGACACGAGGCCACCUCUCCUGUGUAGCCCACACUCCAUGUCCGAGCGCCGAGUCCAUGGAUGGACCUCUUUAUCCUGAUUGUACUGCCUGCUUUCCAAGGAUGCUCUGGCAUUCCAGCAGAGCAGUCAGCACUGAAAGGCCUGGUCAUGUAUCUGAGGUGUCAGCAUCUCAGUUACCUUGGAAUUCCAAAAGGUUCCUUGUCCUUCUUGUGACCCCUAAACAGGCUUGGAGCUCUGUGUGUCCAUGUGGUGACUCCCCUUGGGAAGCCAAUGGUGUUUCCUGCUUACUUAAAAACCUUUAAAAAUGAAGUGUCAGUGUACUAAACAGGAGGCUUCUCAUAGGGAGGGUGGAGGAUGAAGGCUGUUUGGAGCACAGGUGUUGACUCCUCAGAUCUUUUGUUGUCAUCCAUGUGUGACAGUUUCUGUACUACUUACGUGGUUAACCUUUGUAAAUAUUGUUUUAACUUGGGGUUAAUGCCAUAGUAGAGGUACUUGUGACUUUUGGGUGCUCCUCCCAGUAGUGUGUUAAGAGUCACUGGAACCAGUCAGCCACAUGGGUGCAAUCCUUGCAGCACAGUGCCUGUUUGAACUCGUUUGUGACAUGAGCCUGUCACUAAAUGCAAUUUGCGUGGAGGGAGGGUUUUGUGCUGAGGUUUUGUGCUCUCACCACUUCUUCAGUUCAUGGAAAAGCCAGGAUGAAAGAGUUCAGUAUAAUGAGCAGUGUUGCAUGGAGACAAGAUCAGCAGAUGUUCUUAUUGAAGUUAGAAGAACUUUUGCCCCAUUUUUAUGUUAGAAAGAAUAAUGUCACUGUCAUUAUGUCUUAAAUCUGCCUAUUUUGCAACACAGUGUGUUAGAUGGGGUCUUUGAUAAAAUACAGCUUCAUGCUAAAAAUAAAAGGUAAAGGCUAUUCACUUGCUCAACUUAAUUAUUAAUGUUUUGGAAAAUCCUAACCAUGCUACUAAGUGUCACAUUCAA